rnacentral:rRNA from 1 species
UACGUAGGUGACAAGCGUUGUCCGGAUUUACUGGGCGUAAAGAGCGCGCAGGCGGUCGUUCAAGUCGAGUGUGAAAGCCCCCGGCUCAACUGGGGAGGGUCACUCGAUACUGAUCGACUCGAAGGCAGGAGAGGGAAGUGGAAUUCCCGGUGUAGUGGUGAAAUGCGUAGAUAUCGGGAGGGACACCAGUGGCGAAGGCGACUUCCUGGCCUGUUCUUGACGCUGAGGCGCGAAAGCUAGGGGAGCAAACGGG